rnacentral:rRNA from 1 species
UACGAAGGGGGCUAACGUUGCUCGGAAUCACUGGGCGUAAAGCGCACGUAGGCGGAUUGUUAAGUCAGGGGUGAAAUCCUGGAGCUCAACUCCAGAACUGCCUUUGAUACUGGCGAUCUCGAGUCCGGGAGAGGUGAGUGGAACUCCGAGUGUAGAGGUGAAAUUCGUAGAUAUUCGGAAGAACACCAGUGGCGAAGGCGGCUCACUGGCCCGGUACUGACGCUGACGGUGCGAAAGCGUGGGGAGCAAAC